UUUUCCUGCUCCCUCCGCAGCUAGUUGUGGCCACAAGACUAGGUUGUUUCCACUGAAGUGUGAGCAAAAGUGAUAGAUGCCAUUCAAGCCUUGCCUUGAGAACUUGCAUGCUCACUCCUACGGCUCUUUCUUCCUUCCUACAGGCUGAAAUACUGAUGACAAGACAGACCUUAGAAGCCACAUGUUGAAGAUGGAAGGACUGCCCUCGUUCUGAUUCAGUUCGCGGGAAGCAGCUCAUAUUGAUUCUUUCGUUUAACAACUUGUCUGCUUUGAUGAACACAGAUCAACGUCAGCUUUUUGUGACCCUUAGGGAAAUCAUCUAUACCUAGAGUCUGGCUGUGCAGCUGAUAGCUGGCUUAACAAGAUAGCCCCACAUCCUCUCCACAAGGACCUCUCUGCAAUCUCAUGCAGCGUGUUUGACGUUCCGAAACAAUCACAAAGUUUUCUCAUCUCUAAUGACUCUCCAGGACUGUGAGAA